rnacentral:rRNA from 1 species
GUAGCACAGAGAGCUUGCUCUCGGGUGACGAGCGGCGGACGGGUGAGUAAUGUCUGGGAAACUGCCUGAUGGAGGGGGAUAACUACUGGAAACGGUAGCUAAUACCGCAUAACGUCGCAAGACCAAAGUGGGGGACCUUCGGGCCUCAUGCCAUCAGAUGUGCCCAGAUGGGAUUAGCUAGUAGGUGGGGUAACGGCUCACCUAGGCGACGAUCCCUAGCUGGUCUGAGAGGAUGACCAGCCACACUGGAACUGAGACACGGUCCAGACUCCUACGGGAGGCAGCAGUGGGGAAUAUUGCACAAUGGGCGCAAGCCUGAUGCAGCCAUGCCGCGUGUGUGAAGAAGGCCUUCGGGUUGUAAAGCACUUUCAGCGGGGAGGAAGGCGAUAAGGUUAAUAACCUUGUCGAUUGACGUUACCCGCAGAAGAAGCACCGGCUAACUCCGUGCCAGCAGCCGCGGUAAUACGGAGGGUGCAAGCGUUAAUCGGAAUUACUGGGCGUAAAGCGCACGCAGGCGGUCUGUCAAGUCGGAUGUGAAAUCCCCGGGCUCAACCUGGGAACUGCAUUCGAAACUGGCAGGCUAGAGUCUUGUAGAGGGGGGUAGAAUUCCAGGUGUAGCGGUGAAAUGCGUAGAGAUCUGGAGGAAUACCGGUGGCGAAGGCGGCCCCCUGGACAAAGACUGACGCUCAGGUGCGAAAGCGUGGGGAGCAAACAGGAUUAGAUACCCUGGUAGUCCACGCCGUAAACGAUGUCGAUUUGGAGGUUGUGCCCUUGAGGCGUGGCUUCCGGAGCUAACGCGUUAAAUCGACCGCCUGGGGAGUACGGCCGCAAGGUUAAAACUCAAAUGAAUUGACGGGGGCCCGCACAAGCGGUGGAGCAUGUGGUUUAAUUCGAUGCAACGCGAAGAACCUUACCUGGUCUUGACAUCCACAGAACUUGCCAGAGAUGGCUUGGUGCCUUC